rnacentral:rRNA from 1 species
GCGUAGAUAUGUGAGGAUACCGGUGGCGAAGCGGCCUCCUGGCUCGAUACUGACGCUGAGGUGCGAAGCGUGGUAGCAAACAGGAUUAGAUACCCUGGUAGUCACGCCGUAAACGAUGUCUACUAGCCGUUGGGAGACUUGAUUUCUUAGUGGCGCAGCUAACGCAAUAAGUAGACCGCCUGGGGAGUACGGCCGCAAGGUUAAAACUCAAAUGAAUUGACGGGGGCCCGCACAAGCGGUGGAGCAUGUGGUUUAAUUCGAUGCAACGCGAAGAACCUUACCAGGUCUUGGCAUCCUGAAAACUUUCUAGAGAUAGAUUGGUGCCUUCGGGAAUUCAGUGACAGGUGCUGCAUGGCUGUCGUCAGCUCGUGUCGUGAGAUGUUGGGUUAAGUCCCGUAACGAGCGCAACCCUUGUCCUUAGUUGCCAGCACGUAAUGGUGGGAACUCUAAGGAGACUGCCGGUGACAAACCGGAGGAAGGUGGGGACGACGUCAAGUCAUCAUAGCCCUUACGACCUGGGCUACACACGUGCUACAAUGGAACGCACAAAGGGUUGCAACCUCGCGAGAGUGAGCCAAUCCCACAAAACGUUUCGUAGUCCGGAUCGGAGUCUGCAACUCGACUCCGUGAAGUCGGAAUCGCUAGUAAUCGUGGAUCAGAAUGCCACGGUGAAUACGUUCCCGGGCCUUGUUCACACCGCCCGUCACACCAUGGGAGUGGGUUGCUCCAGAAGUGGCUAGCUUAACCUUCGGGAGAGCGGUCACCACGGAGUGAUUCAUGACUGGGGUGAAGUCGUAACAAGGUAACC